UCUAACUGAACAAUUUGCUGCUCUAGAUAAGUGGGCGGAAAAACCAGCCUUUGGGACUCCCCUAGAAGAACACCUGAAGAGGAGCGGGCGCGAGAUUGCGCUGCCCAUUGAAGCCUGUGUCAUGCUGCUUCUGGAGACAGGCAUGAAGGAGGAGGGCCUUUUCCGAAUUGGGGCUGGGGCCUCCAAGUUAAAGAAGCUGAAAGCUGCUUUGGACUGUUCUACUUCUCACCUGGAUGAGUUCUAUUCAGACCCCCAUGCUGUAGCAGGUGCUUUAAAAUCCUAUUUACGGGAAUUGCCUGAACCUUUGAUGACUUUUAAUCUGUAUGAAGAAUGGACACAAGUUGCAAGUGUGCAGGAUCAAGACAAAAAACUUCAAGACUUGUGGAGAACAUGUCAGAAGUUGCCACCACAAAAUUUUGUUAACUUUAGAUAUUUGAUCAAGUUCCUUGCAAAGCUUGCUCAGACCAGCGAUGUGAAUAAAAUGACUCCCAGCAACAUUGCGAUUGUGUUAGGCCCUAACUUGUUAUGGGCCAGAAAUGAAGGAACACUUGCUGAAAUGGCAGCAGCCACA
rnacentral:sRNA from 1 species